AAAAAAUUUGUUACAUGAAAAUAUAUACAAGAAGCCGCUAAUUCGGAGAGUCUCUUCCCGAUAACUUAAUAUAAAUGGUGUUUGAAGGAAAAAAAAAAGAAGCCGCUAAUUUCAUUUGAAGUUUGAAACAACAACCAAUGACGAUAUUUAUGA
rnacentral:sRNA from 1 species